AUACUGAUUUAUCCGCAGAAGGAAUCAGAGGCCUCAAAACGCACAUACAUAUGAGUGGUAACAAUGAAGCACCAAUAAUGCAACAGGGCUUACAGAUGAUUGAUAGUAGAUCUGAUGGAUAUCCGAUGUCCAUGACUUUACGUGAUUAUCAGCUCUGUAAAACACAGCACCCCAGGAUUUCUUCACGGCAAAAGAACAGGUGCAAGAAGACCUUAAAAGAAAUAUCUGAAUACUCUGAAGAAAAUUCUCAAGCAGAACAAGCAGCACUACUUGAGAAAAUAAUUUCAAAGUUG
rnacentral:misc_RNA from 1 species